rnacentral:rRNA from 1 species
GAUGAACGCUAGCGGCAGGCUUAACACAUGCAAGUCGAGGGGUAACAGGGAAGAGCUUGCUUUCCGCUGACGACCGGCGCACGGGUGCGUAACGCGUAUGCAACCUACCUCUUACUGGGGAAUAGCCCGGAGAAAUCCGGAUUAAUGCCCCAUAGCAUUACUUCUUCGCAUGUUGAAGUAAUUAAAGGUUACGGUAAGAGAUGGGCAUGCGUCCCAUUAGCUAGAUGGUAAGGUAACGGCUUACCAUGGCAACGAUGGGUAGGGGGCCUGAGAGGGUGAUCCCCCACACUGGUACUGAGACACGGACCAG